GUUUUAAUAAUUUAAUAAAAAUAUUAGUCUUGUAAACUAAAAAUAAGCUCACUUUUAAAACA
rnacentral:tRNA from 1 species